UACGUAGGGGGCGAGCGUUGUCCGGAAUGAUUGGGCGUAAAGGGCGUGUAGGCGGUCAUUUAAGUCUGGAGUGAAAGUCCUGUUUUCAAGAUGGGAAUUGCUUUGGAUACUGGAUGACUUGAGUGCAGGAGAGGUUAUCGGAAUUCCCGGUGUAGCGGUGAAAUGCGUAGAGAUCGGGAGGAACACCAGUGGCGAAGGCGGGUAACUGGACUGCAACUGACGCUGAGGCGCGAAAGUGUGGGGAGCAAAC
rnacentral:rRNA from 1 species